GUGAAUUCAAAAGGCCUUGGGGGACUUUGCAAAAAGCACCCCAGGCCGACUUUACUAUUUCACACACUUUGUGCUCUCGUCUUUUUUAACACUGUUGCAUCUAUUAAACAGUUGAUGAUAAACCAAGUUGAUAAACAUUGAAA
rnacentral:misc_RNA from 1 species